rnacentral:rRNA from 1 species
GACGAACGCUGGCGGCGUGCCUAAUACAUGCAAGUAGGACGCAGGUGCGAACGGGUGAGUAACGCGUAGGUAACUACCUAUUAGAGGGGGAGAACUAUUGGAAACGAUAGCUAAUACCGCAUACUAGUAGAUGGACCUGCGUUGUAUUAGCUAGUAGGUAGGGUAAUGGCCUACCUAGGCAAAGAUACAUAGCCGACCUUGUAGGGUGAGCGGCCACACGGGGACUGAGACACGGCCCAGACUCCUACGGGAGGCAGCAGUAGGGAAUCUUCGGCCAUUGGGGGAACCCUGACCGAGCAACUGCGCGUGAGUGAAGAAGGUUUUCGGAUCGUAAAGCUUUGUUGUUAAGGAAGCGGUACUUAACCAGAAAGGGCCGGCUAACUACGUGCCAGCAGCCGCGGUAAUUC